GACCCAGUAGUGAAAUGAAAUCACGCCCGCACCUUGUAGGAUCGACGCGUUGACGUGUUUAACCAGGAGUCCCCUGUUCGAACCAGGGCUGGGUCA